rnacentral:rRNA from 1 species
GUACACUCCUGCGGGAGGCAGCAGUGGGGAAUAUUGCACAAUGGGCGCAAGCCUGAUGCAGCCAUGCCGCGUGUAUGAAGAAGGCCUUCGGGUUGUAAAGUACUUUCAGCGGGGAGGAAGGCGAUAAGGUUAAUAACCUUGUCGAUUGACGUUACCCGCAGAAGAAGCACCGGCUAACUCCGUGCCAGCAGCCGCGGUAAUACGGAGGGUGCAAGCGUUAAUCGGAAUUACUGGGCGUAAAGCGCACGCAGGCGGUCUGUCAAGUCGGAUGUGAAAUCCCCAGGCUCAACCUGGGAACUGCAUUCGAAACUGGCAGGCUAGAGUCUUGUAGAGGGGGGUAGAAUUCCAGGUGUAGCGGUGAAAUGCGUAGAGAUCUGGAGGAAUACCGGUGGCGAAGGCGGCCCCCUGGACAAAGACUGACGCUCAGGUGCGAAAGCGUGGGGAGCAAACAGGAUUAGAAACCCGGGUAGUCCCA